rnacentral:tRNA from 1 species
UCCCGUGUGGCUCAGUUGGUAGAGCAUGGUGUUUGCAAUGCCAGGGUUGUGGGUUCAAUUCCCACGGGGGAA